GCACCACUGCACUGAAGAGUCCAGGGGCCUUGAAGUUAAAUUCCACAAAAAGUGAGAGAUUGAGGCUUGAUUCCCUUCAAGUGGAAGAUGCUUGUACCGCAGUGUCCUGCUUUAUGGGUCACUCAAGCAGAAGGAGAAGCCUUGGUCUUAUCAUUUUCUACAAACUGCUGUCCUGACCUCAUGAAAUCGGAGAGUCUAUUCACAGCCAGGAAGGACCGUGCUCCCUGACAAGUCUCCAAGGAGCUGGGGAAGUGUGUUGACGGGCUCGUGGUGGGGAUGUUCAAGGGAAUGACUCUGAGGCACUCAGAUAUACCAGCGAUUCUACGGUCAGACCUGCCAGCUGCUUCAUUAUUCCUUCAUCCGAAUAUAUGCCCUGACCAUAUCAGGGAAAAAUGCAGAGAAGGAUCAGUCGUGUUCAGAAAGGAAACUCAAGAGCUAAGGCACACUGCUACAAGACUUCAGUCCAGAGAGUCAGAGGAUAUCAGGACCCCAGCAAAUAUCUCCAGAUGCAGCUACAUGUAUCGGAUACAGAGGAAAGCGUGGGAAGAGCAAGGAGUCAGUGACAUUGCUCUGAAGCACUAGUUCCUCACUCCAGGAGGUGAAAAUUUGCAGCUGGCCUCUAGCUAUGGACUUUGGUAGAACACCUGCAGUGACUUGGGCCUGGACUUCACCCAUAUUGCCUGUAAAAGCACAAUAAAAGCCACAGCAAUAAAAUAAAAAGCAGUAUCUGUGUUGCACUGCACCAGUUUGCCUGAUGAACCUGGAGCUCCAGAUAACAAUUCCACUUGAAAUAGGUAAUGAUGGUUAACAAACAGCAGCCCGGUUACCCGAGACAAUACCAACAGUAGUGUAUGACUGAAGAAAACAGUCUGAUCGGGUUUCUCCUCUAACUUUUCCAGAUCAGCUGCUGCCAAGAAAGAGAGAAAGAAAAAAAAAUAAAAUAAAAAUAAAGGCGAGAAAGCAAGAGAGAGGGAAAAAAAAAGAGAGCACAACAAAAAAAAAGGCAGGAGCUCUAAAAUUGUUACACACUGGAGGAUUGGAGGGAAGUAAUGUUUUCCAACAUGGGCAAAGGUCUACACUCCCGUACCCGGUGGAUCAGAUCCAAGCCUUGCUGGAGUCAAUGGAUAGACUCCCUUUGACUUAGCAGGCUCUGGAUCAGACCCAAGGUUCCCAUAAUGAAGGCUAAGCCUGACCUGCCUACUGGGAUGCCUUUAGGCUUGACAGAGCCAACAAAAACCUUGUCCUCUCAAGAGCAUUUUUGUUUUCAUGAGGUUAAGCUAAAGUUAGCUGCUGGAACCAAUACAGCUUCUUCACAUCUGGACUGUGAUGUCCUUGAAGCCACAGGCUGCUUUGCCAUGUGACAUCCCCAUCAGAGGCUAUUUCUGGACACCACGAUACAUACAAUUAUUUAAGUAUUAGGUGCCAUGUCAACAGAAGCGAAUGUAUGGCCCAGUGAGAGAUAUCCAGGCCUCUCUGGGGCAGAUUCUCUAAUAUAAUCCACCUUCCUAGAACCACUCUGGUGGCAAAGAAAGUGUCAAGAAUGCAGCCGGGAACCCUCCUGUGGGUUAUUUCUCCAAAGCAUGUCAUUAUCUCCAGUUUCCACCUCAUCAGCAGCAUUCCCACCAUUUUAGCUACUGAAUUAGGGGCUGCCAUGCCCCUAGCUGGCUCCCUCUUUCUGUCGGAUUGUGGCUUCCAGGCAUUGCGAAGUCAAGCUGUUUCCAAUGCAGACAGUGGAUCUUCAAGCAGAGAGAGUCCAAUCCACACCCUCCAGGCAUCUGUUUUUGCUGCAACUACACACCAGGAAGCAGAAGUACAGAUCUAAGCCUUUGUAUCAAGAAUAGAGACCAGAAUUUCCCGAAAAGGAGAAGUAGGCACAGACUGGAAAGCAGCACUGGCUAAUUCAUAGCAGAGCACAAAGGAAGAAAAUAGCUUCCCUUCUGUCUCUUCAGCACAACAUUUACUACAUCCUUUGACUUCAAUGUCAUCUCCCAUUUCUCUUUAUACAAGAUGGCUGGUGUUUGCAGAGGC